AUACUCUGGCUCUUCUUCAUAUCGUAUAAAUAUUUUGCCUCUUACCAAAGAUUUAUGAUGAAGGAAAUAACUCUGAGUCUUAUGUUAAUUGUUUGAGACCUUGCUUUGUGGCAU